rnacentral:sRNA from 1 species
AUGGCCGCUCAAAGACGAAAGAGACAGACCGAGACAAGACCGAGAGCAACCAGAAAGCACCGGGGAGUGGAAAAUCUCAGACCAUCGGCAACUUCUGUAGCUCUUCUUGUAUCCUAUAUCUGAAUAUAUCUGAAUACUUCCCAGGAACACUCUAUUAAGAUACCAUAGAGAAAGAAAAGAGAGAGAGAGAGGGAAGGAUUCCGUACAUCAUAAACAUCCCCCACAGCAGAAACAGAGAAGCAACUGCAAAAGCAUCUCCCAAGGAACCCCGCUUCUAGACAAACGCCCGCGGCUAUCUUUGAUGGCCUUGAACACCGUGGACAUACCGUAUCACCCACUUACCACCUCUUUCUCCGCCCCCUCAAUAUCGCUCCACCGCCCGCCGUUACCGUUUCGAUUCCUGCUCUUGCCUGCCAAAUAAAUCCCUCCCAGAGCAUAUCCACCUCAACUUGCUCCCGCUGGCAGUGACCAUAAGAGAUCUAUAUCUUAUAUAUAUAUAUAUAUAUAUAUAUAUAGAGAGAGAGAGAGAGAGAGAGACGGAAUCUUACCUCUUUUAUUAUCCUUCUCAAUCUAGAACACGGGUCUGUAUAUAUACCCCAGAAACGACUUCGAUAUCAAAAUCAAAAUCAACAACAACAAAGAUAACAUCCAUCAGCAAAACAGUCGAAGUAUAUAUCAACAACGAAUGCCUCAUACAAUGGCCGUGGCAACCACGUCCUCCUCGACCCGUUGGCGCGCAAUCGUCAACCGCGACGCCACAGCCAAUGAUUUUGUCUAUGGCGUGCGCACCACCAAAAUCUACUGUCGACCCCGCUGUCCAGCCCGUCUCGCCCGCCGCGCAAAUGUCGAGUUCUACGACACCCCUAAACAGGCUGAGAAGGCGGGCUACCGCCCCUGCAAGCGCUGUAAGCCGGAAGACCUCCGCGCCCCGCCAGAUCCGCAUAUCAAACUCGCCCAGCGCGCCUGCCAGACCAUGACCCUGGCGGCGCUGCGGGCUGCCAGCGGUACUAAGAGUGGCGAGGCGAGAGCCCGGCCGACGCUGCAGGAUCUGGCGAAUGAGGCUGGGUUGACCCCAUCGCAUUUUCAUCGCGUUUUUAAGAAGGUCGUGGGCAUUACGCCUGGGAGGUUUGGUAGGGACGUUAUGGAAGGGAAGAAGAUGAGUGCGUAUUUGAAGAGGUUGGAAGCGGGAAUUAGCGCCAACGGUGGGGGGUAUGCGGGAUACGGAGGUGGCGCGGGAGCUUGUGGCUCGGGCGCGGGAACGGGAGCGGAAAAGGCCGAUGCAAACGGAAACGGUAAGUCAUCGGUUGACUUUCCGAGUAAGGUUGGCGGGGAUGCUGGUGCCGCUGUGACGGGAUUGGGUUUGGAUGGGGUAGACGACGUACUCUCCGCCAUUGCUACUCCGGAUCCGCAGAACUACACUGUUCUGCCUGAUGCCGUGCCUAUACGCAUUGAUUGGAAUGAAUUCGAUAGGAUGUUGGGUAGUACUGGUGGCGGCGAUGCGGGACGUAAUAGCAACAACGACCACAGUAACGGUCGUCGACAUCCACAUCAUCUUCCACAUAACCACAACAGUGAUUUUCCCACAGGGAAGCAGCAACAAUUGCAGACGCAGUCAGAGACACAGAGACAAUCCCCCAUCACAACAGCAGCACCGCUCCACCCACACAUCCUCGACCCAAAUUCCAUAAACUCAGCAGAACUCCUUCUCGACCACUACGAAUUCCCCUGGGAAACCCCCGAUUGCACCUUCAACUUCUCCUCCCCGCCCCUUCGCCAUACCACUACUGCAAGCGGUGAUGCAGACAGCAACGGCUCUCUCCCCCCCUACAUCUAUGACCCGCUCAUAGACACAAACUCGGAGUUCUACAGUAAAUUCAUCCACCACAACAGCACCACAAACAGAAACUGCAACAUAAACUACAACAACUGCAGUAACACGGACAACGGCCUCAAACAACAGCAGCAGCAGCACCCACUCCACCUACUAGACCUUUCCGAGGACUCUUCCUCACUAACAACAAUAGACACACCACCAUUC